CCUACGGGUUGCAGCAGUGGGGAAUAUUGCACAAUGGGCGCAAGCCUGAUGCAGCGACGCCGCGUGAGGGGUGACGGCCUUCGGGUUGUAAACCUCUUUCAGUAGGGAAGAAGCGAAAGUGACGGUACCUGCAGAAGAAGCGCCGGCUAACUACGUGCCAGCAGCCGCGGUAAUACGUAGGGCGCAGGCGUUAUCCGGAAUUAUUGGGCGUAAAGAGCUCGUAGGCGGUUUGUCGCGUCCGCCGUGAAAGUCCGAGGCUCAACUCCGGAUCUGCGGUGGGUACGGGCAGGCUAGAGUGAUGUAGGGGAGACUGGAAUUCCUGGUGUAGCGGUGAAAUGCGCAGAUAUCAGGAGGAACACCGAUGGCGAAGGCAGGUCUCUGGGCAUUAACUGACGCUGAGGAGCGAAAGCAUGGGGAGCGAACAGGAUUAGAUACCCGAGUAGUC
rnacentral:rRNA from 1 species